GAAGAAGAAAAGUGAUUUUUGAGAUGAAUACUACUUGGAGCUCAAGUUAUUGAUUCUUGAAUUUCUAUCUACAUUAAGAUAGUAGCUGAGUUGAGCACUACUGGGCCAGUUGAUCUAUCGAGUUGAACAAAAAAUUGUCAAGCAUUGUAUGAAUCAUCUUUUCAGUUUAAUAGUUCAUAUUUUGGGAUAGACACCUCUUUUGAUCAGAAACUAGUUUCAU